GCAGUCGAGCGGAGAGAAGAGCUUGCUCUUCGAUUCAGCGGCGGACGGGUGAGUAAUACCUAGGAAUCUGCCUGGUAGUGGGGGACAACGUUUCGAAAGGAACGCUAAUACCGCAUACGUCCUACGGGAGAAAGCAGGGGACCUUCGGGCCUUGCGCUAUCAGAUGAGCCUAGGUCGGAUUAGCUAGUUGGUGAGGUAAUGGCUCACCAAGGCGACGAUCCGUAACUGGUCUGAGAGGAUGAUCAGUCACACUGGAACUGAGACACGGUCCAGACUCCUACGGGAGGCAGCAGUGGGGAAUAUUGGACAAUGGGCGAAAGCCUGAUCCAGCCAUGCCGCGUGUGUGAAGAAGGUCUUCGGAUUGUAAAGCACUUUAAGUUGGGAGGAAGGGUACUUACCUAAUACGUGAGUAUUUUGACGUUACCGACAGAAUAAGCACCGGCUAACUCUGUGCCAGCAGCCGCGGUAAUACAGAGGGUGCAAGCGUUAAUCGGAAUUACUGGGCGUAAAGCGCGCGUAGGUGGUUCGUUAAGUUGGAUGUGAAAUCCCCGGGCUCAACCUGGGAACUGCAUCCAAAACUGGCGAGCUAGAGUAGGGCAGAGGGUGGUGGAAUUUCCUGUGUAGCGGUGAAAUGCGUAGAUAUAGGAAGGAACACCAGUGGCGAAGCGACCACCUGGGCUCAUACUGACACUGAGGUGCGAAAGCGUGGGGAGCAAACAGGAUUAGAUACCCUGGUAGUCCACGCCGUAAACGAUGUCAACUAGCCGUUGGAAUCCUUGAGAUUUUAGUGGCGCAGCUACGCAUUAGUUGACGCCUGGGGAGUACGGCGCAAGGUAAAACUCAAAUGAAUUGACGGGGGCCCGCACAAGCGGGGAGCAUGUGGUUUAAUUCGAACAACGCGAAAAUUACCCUUGACUGCAGAAACUUUCAGAUGGAUUGGCUCGGAUCUGACCCUGCAUGGUUCGCAGCUCGGCGAGAGGUAGUCCUACAGCCCCUGGGUCUGUC
rnacentral:rRNA from 1 species